UACAGAGGGUGCAAACGGUGUUCGGAAUUACUGGGCGUAAAGCGCGUGUAGGCGGUCUUGCAGGUCGGAUGUGAAAGCCAUCAGCUCAACCGGGGAAGUGCAUUCGAAACCGCAAGACUUGGGUGUCGGAGAGGAAGGCGGAACUGUCGGUGUAGAGGUGAAAUUCGUAGAUAUCGACAGGAACACCUGCGGCGAAAGCGGCCUUCUGGACGAACACUGACGCUGAGACGCGAAAGCGUGGGAAGCCAACAGG
rnacentral:rRNA from 1 species